rnacentral:SRP_RNA from 1 species
UCGGAGCCGGCGCGGGCGGACGCCUCGCCAACCUGGUCAGGGCCGGAAGGCAGCAGCCACAACGAGUUUCGCUCCGGGUCGCGCCGGUUCCACCUC